rnacentral:rRNA from 1 species
AGACAGAGGGUGCGAACGUUGUUCGGAAUUACUGGUCGUAAAGCGCGUGUAGGCGGCUAUGCAAGUCGGGUGUGAAAGCCCUGGGCUUAACCGAGGAAGUGCACUCGAAACUGCAUAGCUCGAGUCCCGGAGAGGAUGGUGGAAUUCUCGGUGUAGAGGUGAAAUUCGUAGAUAUCGAGAGGAACACCGGUGGCGAAGGCGGCCAUCUGGACGGGUACUGACGCUGAGACGCGAAAGCGUGGGUAGCAAACAGGAUUAGAAACCCCAGUAGUCC